UUUUUUUUGACAAAGCAGAUAAUCAUCUGGGUUUGGGGGAGCUUCAGACCUGGAAUGAAACACCUGAGGUAUUUUAUUGUGGUAAAUAAGAUGUAGAGGAACACUUCAGUUUUUUGCUACCUUGACUCUCUCAUAGUUCUCCCGUGUUUUCCACAUGUCAUAUGUUGUCUAACUCUGACAAAGUAGGAAAGGUCAUAAAUUUCCCAACCUUUCAUUUUCUGAACCAUUUACCCAAAAGUGUCAGUUGUGGUGGCAGGUAUCUCCAUGUGACAAUGUGACUCACCAGACUGGGACCUCUAAGCAGCUGCAAAUUGAUAUGAUUUUGUGGCUUUUUGAUGCUUGAUUAAACAGGACCCAGAAUAUUUUAAGCUAUUAACCUAUGGAGAAUUGACACCUGUCUCUUGGACUGUGGUGGACACAUCUUCAGUCAAGUGAGAAAUUGCAGCGUCCCAAUGUGCCGUGGUCAGCAUAGAUAAGCAGUGCUGUGGCAUCACCACUGAACACUGUGAAGCAGGAUUUGAUAGCCAAAAGCAAGGACCCUACUAGUACCCAAACUAACAGUUCUCAUCUUCCCAUGAUUUUGUCAUUAUUGGAGCUCCAGACUUUCCGUUCAGUUGGGAAUCAGAAGGGCAAAUUUUCCUUUUGCAUUAAUUGGCAUCCAAUAACAUAGUAGUGUCUGAAGCAGCCUCUAGUCAGGCUUAACUGUGCAGGCUCCUAUUAGCAAGAACUUUGUCAAACACAUAUGGAUGUACUCUCAUACACAGGCACACACUGUGCUUUGUGAUUGUUUUUUGCUUUGGUAAAGAGAUUAAAAAAAGACUAGAAAUCCUAACUAGCUUUAAAAAAUGCAGCCCAACCACAUCAAUAAAAUGAGAAACAGAAAGGGAACAGCAAGGAAGAAAUCUGGUUCAGCGCUACAGUAAGAGGAACAACUCUGCCACUGUACUCAACAAAAGCAAUGGGCUUUGAAUGUUUGUUAUUAAAUGCUUAAUAUUUUAGGGAUACACUUCACAUUUAAAACUGGCAUUACACAAAGUGGGGAUUGGUUUGUAAAAUAAAUAUAGGUAUGAAGAUGCAAAACAAAUUUAAGCUUUAGCUUUGUAGAUUAUUGUCUGGGAGUAUACUUGCUGUUCAGCUGUGAAGUCUGCCCUUGCCUCCUGGCACACAACCAUCCUCAUCCCAAGCAUCCCAGCCUCCCAAACAAGGGUAAAACUUAUAGGCAUUUUCUAUUUAUCCUGAUUUUUCAAAGGAAAGGAAUUUAAUACUUUUAACAAGGACUGUUCUGUGCCUGUAGACCUGUUUGAUUUACUAGUAUAGCUAUAUAUUUUUUUAUAUAUAUAUGCAUUAACAUUUCCUAUGUACAGGUGGGGCUUGGUAUAGGACCUGUAUUUUAGUAAAGACUGAUUUAGCUUUCUAGCAAAUACAAGAUCAUAGUUGUGCCAAUGCUGAAGGGAUGACCUGAAUAUAGUAAGUCAAUCUGUAGUUUUCUUCUGACAGUUUAGAGACUCAGAGAAAGUCAUGUGUGAGUUUAGAAAUGUCCAAGGUGGGUCAUGCUGUAGGAAAAAAAUGUUGUUAGUCUUGCUUUAUUUCACUCAGCACUCUGGAAGAAAAACACAUCCCAGGGGCCAUCUGAAGGAUUCAUAGUGAGUUGCAGUCUACUGACUACAAAAGCCUUUCCUAAUAAUUUUUCAUGCAACCCAUAGAUAUAUUUCCUAGGCACCGAAAAUAAUGUUUGGGCAUGUUUCCAUUUGCUUCCACCAAUUUUCAACCAAUUUUAAAUUUUUGGAGAAAGUUGAUAAUUAUUAUCUAAAUGGACCUUGUUUUUAAAAAGGUUGCAUAUUACUGAACAGAAAAAGAACAGUGAUAUUUUUGUGUAAAUGAAAGGUCAUUUAUGAGUAUGAAUCUCACUCUGGGCAGCUGGAGAGGCCACAGUCUGCAUGACGAAUGGCAUCCUUCUCAGGACAUUUCUCAAUUUUUAGUGAGCUCAGAGCCAGCAAAAGGACAUUAGGACUUUAUAAGACCCCAUCUCUUAUUUAACAAAAGCAUCCAUGUUGUGACACAGAUCAGUUUUGCUGAGAAAAAAAAACAUUGGUAAUGACUAUGUUUGGUGUCCCUAAUUUGGCUAAUGCUUGGGUUUUUUCAGGAUAAUGUUUACACAAAUUAUAAUAACUUUCCAAACAUCUUGCAUCUGUUGCUUACUUCCUUUGAGGAUCUUCUACUUCCUUCUGUUACAACAGUAAUUGGGAGCAAAUCAGCAGGAAGGAAAUAUACUCCCUGGUUUAGCUAAGACUAUAAUGUUUGUUUAAGUUAGCGAUGCGUGAGUGGUUUGCUAAAGAUUAAUUUUAAAGGUCACUUCCUACUUGGAAAGGAGCCUGUAAUAAGCUUUUCUUCAAGUGAAGAGAGCUUUUUCUUCAAAAUUCCUAUUCUGGGUGGUCUGCGUUAUUCCCAGCUCCCACAGAAGUCAAUGGGAAGGGAUGUUCCAUUGUCACCUGGGGACACUUCUGGCUCCAUGAAAACAAAGAGUGUAUUUCAAGAAGAGAAGCUUUUUCCGGCCUGACAGUGAUGAACCCCACAAAUAUGUCUACUUGUGGAGGGUUGUACCACAUGUGCAGUAUCUCAUAUAAAAACUGUUUCCAGGUGUCACCACCUCAUCUGGGGGGCUCAGCCAUGCCCUGAGAGGGGUCAGUUGGAGACAGCUGGAGCUGGCAGUGUCCUCUCUUCAGUGACCACCCUGCAGCUUCCACCACCAGCACCUUGCCAGAAUGUGUGCAUAGCACAGACACAUGAAUGUGUUUGGAGAUCUGGUGUUGGUGUGGGCUCAGGCUGCAAGGAUUCUCACAGCUGGGAGAAAUAUCCUCAGCUCACACUGACCUGAGUUUCUGCAUGAGUCUCUGGGGGCCAGAUGUGGUACAAUCUAGGAAUUGAGCACAUGAAGUCAGAGAAGAGGAAUUAGGUGCCCUGCAGGGCCACGGAGCUGAGCGGAAUGCGCUGUAAGCUCUUCAAGGACUAUAUAGGAACCUGUGGAUUUUUCUCCUUCUCUGGGUUAGUGUAUGAUAUAAAUGAAGAAAAGUCUUUGUUAUUCCACAAACUGCAACAUGUAAGGUCAGAUCUGCUUGUGUUGCGCUGCACUAUCUAUAGCCUAAAAGAGUGGAAAAGAUACUCAGGAGGGUGCCAGGACUAUCAUCAGAGUGUAUAUUCAUCAGGAACCUAAGACUGAAUUUACAUUGAAAUAUAAAUGUGAUUUGCAGCGUGCUUAGCCACAAGGAAGAGAUGUAUGUCCCCAUUUCACUCUGGAGACACCAGGCUGUGCAAUGCUGAGAUGCUUUUCCUUUGGGCACUCAAGUAAAAGGGAUGAGAAUGUUAUCAAUGGGUCUCCAGAACUGAGUGCUUCAGGUGAACACUGGAAGCCCUUUUGGGGGUUUUAUAACUCUAGAGAGAAAAGACAGGAAAUAUUUUGUACUUUUUAAGUAAAAAGAAGCAAUAAACCUUACAAUGAAUUCAAUAUAGGUGGAUUUUAAAGUUAUGGAUUGAAUUGCUUAUAUGACUAAGAGGAAAAAUAAAAAAUUAAGUAUGUAGAUACGCUAAUUGAUGAGUAUGCAAAUUCCAAACAGCUUACAGGCAGACAGAACCCCUUGAGCAAAGUUGAAACUGAAACUGGGAAUAUUUUUCACAACUUUAAAUUGAGAAAACCAGCUCAGCAUUUUGCUCUUUGAGUAUGGGUUUCCUUGAACAGGAAUCUGAACACUGGGAAUCCCCUCACAUUGCUGUCUGCCUUGCAGAAGGGCAGCAUACAUACUAGGAGAGAGAAGGAGUAGGGAAAAAAGUGCAGGGAAAAAAGUGUAGGUCAGUGAAGACACUGCCCAAACAUUUGUUUUGAAACACUUUAAAGAUUAGUCUGUUUCAUUCAAAUCUCAGAAACUACAACUCCCACAACAAAAUAAACAAAAAUAAAUUGACUUUGACUAAAGAGCACCAUGGAUCUGGCUGUUUUACUAAACAGUUUUUACCUAAAAUGUGUGAGAUCAACCUUUGGCUUGUCAACAAGGUUUGAUUUUUCUUAAAGACUAGCUUGUUCAACUGCUUCAUGUCUUGCCAUGCUGAUUAUUUUAAUAUUUUAAGAACAGACACCAGGAGAAAUGGUGAGCCUGAUACAUGAGUAACAGGUAAGCUCAUAUUGUCACAAUGGUCAAUUUUGUUGCUUCCAUUUUUCAUCUGCCAGACCAUGUAGCACUGGCCUCUGAUGUGUUUGAAAUAUCUGCUGCAUGUGUGUGAAACAUACCUUCCCUGCCUAUCAAAAUUUUACCUUCCAGUAAAAUGAUUACUCUCUCUCUUUUCCAUAAAUAAAAGUGGAGGUGCCAAAAAACACUCUGUAAAACAUUGUGGGAAGCCAGCCAGGAUUUCAAAGAUGCCUGAAACAUUUCAGUCAGCAAUCUGGUGACAUGCUGAGGACAGACAGCAGAAGAAGCUGCUGUCUAUCAGAUAGGGGAGGGGAGCAACAUGUGUCAUGGUCUAUCACUGGUACUCCCUUUUGGAGAGGGAGUGUACUGCCUGCUCCUUUGCACAAUGAUCAAACAGAAGAACUGGAUCUGUAAUUUCAAACUGAAAAUGGAGAUCAUGCUUUACCCUAGUUAAAUCCAGACUAGCUUAAAUUUUGAUCCUCCUCUUGAAUAACAUGGACUCUGAAGAGGCCUCUCCAGACCAGGGGUAGAAAGCAUCAGUAUUUAGUAAAAACCAGUGCAUGGCUGUAAAGAUAUCACAGGUUCAGGCUCCUUCCAGAACAUUUUGGAUAGAGAAAUUUGUUUCUCUUCUGCUAGUGAUAGUUCUUGGAUCCAAAAGGAUAUUCCAUAUAAAGAAGCAUUUAUUGUAAUUUUCAAAUGCUGCUGCCUUUUUAUGAAUGAGCUCUGGUCCCUGAGAAUAGGAGAAAAUUGUGAGAAAUGUGUCAUCAGCUAGCAGAUAGCCUGAGAUCUCUAGUGUUAGUAUACUAGUACUGAUCUUUUGGUCAUCACUGUUUCAGGACUUUCACCCAGAAAUCAUUUUGCAAUUUGGAAUUAAAGCUGGAAAGACUGAGUGUUAUAAACUGACUAAUAAAGUGUUUGGGAGAUUUGAACAGACAUUCCCACUCUAUUCCACACUUGAAAGACAAUAGAAAAAUAGUGGAAACAAGGAAGAAAACUACACUUGGCUGACUUAUGGGAAUCUAGCCUGAAAAGCUGUUUCACUACAUGAGGUCAUUGCAGACACAAAUGUACAUCGAGUACGGGUGGUGGUGGGAUUCACACAGAUUAAAUAAAUGCUAUGGCACAUACUAAAAGUAUUCCAUCUUUACAUUCAAACUGGGGCAUGAAGGGUGCAUCAAAGAGAAAUUUCCUUGUUCAGACCUUUGAAAAGUCAACAUCAUUCACUUGGAAUAUGAAGAGUAGAACUCCAUCAGUCAGUCCACUGGUGUCAGAAGGACUAUAAGACCUCCAUCAGAUUCACUUGCGUGGAGAAGGUAAGUGCAAAGUACAGUCAUAAUGCAAUUAUGUCUAUUGGAUCCAGGAAGAUGCAAUCCAUGGAGGGCCAUUAAGAACAAAGCUGCUCUGACCCAAGAAAUUUCUAAAGAGCAUGCUGUGAAAAGAUGGGAUAGGGAAAAGGAAGCACCAUGACAUGCCUUGAUUUUACUUUUCACUGUGAAUCGCAUAUUGACAAAAUCAGAGGCUGAACUGAACUAGGUGGUUCUUUCUGUCUGACCAAAUACUAACAAAUGUUUCUGGGUCCUCAGGAAAAUGUCCAUAGGGGGCUGAUUACCACUUUGUUCACCUCAUCGGUUUCCUCUAAAUAAGAUAUAGUUGUCUGCACAAAGGAGAGGCAUCCUGUUUGGAGUUAAAAUCUGGAUUUUAUUGUCACUGGAAGAAUGAACAUAAGUUUAAUAGCAUUUCACCUCAGGUUAAAUAUUGUUUACCUGUUUCUACAUUUGUAUUCAUUUGGUGUGGGUUUUAGUAUUCUGAAAAUGUUCUGAAGCAGCUGCCUUUUCUUGGCAAGGUGACUUGGCUGAUCUGAACAAAUUACUGCAUCAGUGAGGGGUUAGCUGUGCUAAACAUCUUGCCCAAAAGAAUAGGAGAUAUUUACAGAUUCAACCUUGCUCUGAUAGUCUGAGACUCCCAUUACAGUGCACUUGGGAAAGGGAAGGAGGUACAUGAAAAUCUUCAUGAUAGACCACAUUUUGCCAGUAGUUUAUUUAUUACACUUCACUGUCUGGAAUUCUCCAUUAUUUAAGUAACCUUUCCUGCUGAAGCUAGUUUUGUACCAUUCAGUGCUAUGGAAAUUAUGUACUCUUUUCCAAAAAAUCGAAAACCUCCUCCCAGUUUCCAGGCUUGCUGUAGGCACUUGGGUCAGCUCUGCCAGAACAGAAUACAUAUGUCUGCAUACUGCUAGAAGUGUUUCUCAGUGGUGCGUGAAUGUACUCUUGUGCACUGUGUAGUUUUGGAUAACAGCUCCUUUCCCAUGCAGCUGGCCGUGGAACAGUAUGCUGCGGCUGUGCUCCCGCAGGGAGACAUAAAAGGAUGGAGUGUCUGCAGCUCCUCAGCAGCCAUAUUAAUUGAAUAUACAUUUCCCAUAAUUAAUUUUUUUUUAUAAUUAUAUAUUUAGUACAAUUUAGUUCAAAUUUCCCUCUUUUACCUCCUUUUUACCCACUCCUUAGAACCUAGGUGACACGUCAAUGUUGUGCAAAGCAAUUCUUGUGCUUCUUGCGCCAGUUUUAUCUGGGGAGACACAUGAGGGAUCACUGCAUCACACAUUAGCUGCAGGAGUCUUUAUAUGAUAGAUUUUCUUUAAGAAAAAAUAAUUAGGCUCAAGGCUUGCUAAACUGUUAGUCAAGAUUUUCCUUUGUAAGAAAUCUUUCCAUCAUUAGACCAAAUAAACGAGAUGGGUGAAAACCCAAACCACUGUUGUUGGUUCUGGGCUGGGAAACAGAAACAAACCUCUCUACAAAGAAAUCCCAUCACAAGUAUGCCUUUGAGUGCUUUCACUAAAUUGAAAGCACUUCAAGCUAUUUACAAGGCAGGAGAUUCCUCUCGUUGUUUAUCUGUGGUGUGCCUCCCUGGUGCGUUGUGUCUAAGCAUGAAUGCGUCUGUUCAUUUCAUUUCUAGCUUACAUCCACAGCAGCUCCAGCAGAGUGACUGGAAGAACUACUAUGAGCAGCCAAAUCUGGAACUGUUUGGAUUUAUUGUCUUUUCUGGGCAUAUGGAUGUUGGUGUCCAAUAGAUGGAUUAAUGGAUGGCUGAUUAAUUUGCUCCAGGCUGUGCCUGGAGACUGUGUCUAGGAGGAUUCAGCUGGAGCCAUUGCUUGCGUGCCUACUCCCUCCAGUAAUCUCUGACUUCUCAUUGCCUCAGUCCCUGGGUCCUGCUCAGCUCAGCUCAGUGCAGAGCCUGGUGUGGGCAGCUGAGAUGAUCCUAGAGGGGGGACAAAAUGGCAUGGCUGUGGAAGAGUGCCCUGUGUGCAUCUUCUUGGGGCUGGAGAUUUUCGUGUGCCCAGCAGUGCAGUGCAGAGAUCUGGAGCCUGCCCAUGGGCACAGUGGAUCAGGACACCCAACUCCUUCUCUCUCAUUUUCCACAUUGUAAUGCUGGCAUACUAACAAAACUUAAUGAAAAUCCAUUCUGAAGGACUCUUGAACAUUAAGAAUGCACAAAUGAAAACCUGACUGAAGGUAGUGAUUCCAGUGUAAUAUUAGUAUACAAAUGUAAGUAAAAUUUAUUGUACACCUGUACAAUAAAUUGCAUCCACUCUGUGAGCCCCAGCUCUCCUUACAAAAUGUUAAUUAUAUGCCAGGGACUGCUAAAAUUAAAACUUGACUGUUCUUUAAUUACUUCGGUUUGACUUUCAAAUCUCUUGUGCCUCAUAUAUUUUCCAUUUAAAUUGUAGCCAAUUAAAAUUUACAUGACUGAACACUUAUAGACUGAAGGAACUAGGUAUGGAAAACACAGAUAUUAAAUAAAAAUUAUUAUUAAAUUAUACCAAACACAUUGCAAUUCAUGCUUCGUAACUGAGCAAUGUAUUCGACAGAACUGGAAACAGAAAGUAAACCUUGUGAGUUUGUGUAAUUGUCACAUAGUUCUGAAUUCCUUAAGUGGCAUGCAAAGGUAUUGAAAAGACCAAUUCAAGAACAGCUUAUAAAACAAAAGGAUAAAGUGAACAUUUGUAUGUUAUAAGCUAUUGGUUCUGUUUCUCUUGUCAAAAUUUAAAAUUAACCUUAAAAAGAAUGAGUCCUACCAAAGACUGCAAAGCAAAUGACACAAAGCCAUCCUAACACAGCUUUUGUUACUGAUGUACAGAUUCUUUCAAGUAUAUGUCCCUUUUAGAUUUUAGAAACAUCCAGGAUUUGCCUUUUGGGACUGAGUUUGAUUUCCCAGGGUGAGUUUGAUUUCCCAGGGUGACAAGACUUUUGCAAAUACAUAGGCUGUUGUCUGAAAGACAGUUGAAUCAUAUGUAACAUAAUAACCACAGGGAUUUGACCUGAUUUUUUUUCUUUACAAAGCUUGAAUUAUUAUUUCAAACAGGGAAAAGAAACACUUCAGACUUAACUUCUGCAUUGUGAAAGUGGGGUUAUUUUUCAGUGCUGUUCCUGUGGAAGGAAUAAAUAUUAUCCCAGUCUCCAUCCAGCUGAAAAUCCCCUUCCUUGGUCAGCACAGAUCACUUUUGGGAUCUUUCAUUGACAGUGCCAUAUUUCAGUCAACCAGAGGAAGAGGGAGCCUAUUCAUCCUGGACAAAGCUGCACAACUGUGCAAUGGGUGGUGGCACCCAGUGGGUCCUGGUUUCUUCAGUGGUGCACAGAUUGUGCUGCAGUGCUGUCAUGGUGGGUUCACUGCCCACAGACAAGUGUUUACCCUGUAAAAGGAUCUUGGGUCUAUCCAGGUUUCUAGACAUUUGAAAUCUCAGAUGGAUAUCCAGGAUUGGCUCAGGAGUAAGAAAAAAUAAAUUGUUCCAAGGGAAAAAGGUACCUACUGAAGGAAGCUUGGCCCUGAUGAGGACCCAUUUCACCUCACUGAAUAUGUAAGACUGUGCAGCAAAAGAAUGUGUUCACUGGCCCAUCCAAUCACUUUUAGCUUGUAAAAGCUACAGUGCAAGUGCAUUCCCUUUUGUGACAAGUUGCUGUGCUGGGUUUUGCACUGGUAUGGGCACUGUCUCUGCUUGUUUCAGGAGGGAAGCAAGUCUGAGUUUACUGAGGGUUAUAAAACUUUAGAGGGUCAUAGGUUGGAAAUGGGGGGGUGUAUUCUAUUCCUGUCAGUUAGAAGUGGGGCAGUUAUCUUCUGUUAAUUGGGCAGUUUUCUUUAUCUCUUCCACAACCAAUCCUCCCUCUGGGGGGAUGUUAAUGGGCCAUUGAGUCUCACUGCAUGACUGAUAAAACUACAUCAUCCCACUCUGAGAAGCUCUGCCCAGAGGGAGGAGCCAAGCAUUCCUACCCGAGAAUAAUCUGAGAUUUGGAAGACCACAGCCAGGCUUUUCCACUGGAUUCCCAGAGAAGGCCCAUCUAAACCACCACUGGACCUUCAGAGGAAGACUACACCCUUCUACAGGAUCGCUGCUUCCACAGAACCACACCUGUCACUCCAGGAGGACUGCAGCCACCAUUUAAUCAGGAUUGCUACCAACACCCUGACCAACAGGGUGUCAGGCUGUAUUCUGACUCUGUCUAUGUUGGUCUGUAUUACUGCAUUGUUUAUUUUUAUUUUCAUUUCCUUCCUUAAUAAAGAACUGUUAUUCCUACUCCCAUA